UACGUAGGGUGCGAGCGUUGUCCGGAAUUAUUGGGCGUAAAGAGCUCGUAGGCGGUUUGUCGCGUCUGCUGUGAAAACUCGGGGCUUAACUCCGGGCCUGCAGUGGGUACGGGCAGACUAGAGUGCGGUAGGGGAGACUGGAAUUCCUGGUGUAGCGGUGAAAUGCGCAGAUAUCAGGAGGAACACCGGUGGCGAAGGCGGGUCUCUGGGCCGUAACUGACGCUGAGGAGCGAAAGCGUGGGGGAGCGAACAGG
rnacentral:rRNA from 1 species